rnacentral:rRNA from 1 species
AUGCAUAUGUUGCUGGAGAUUGGAGAGGACCUUUUGUUGUUACAGUUCGUGAGUUCAUAUAUAAUAGCUAUGGUGACUGUUAUUUCCUUGCCACUAGUACACUGUUAUCAGUUGAAUCAUGUUCACCUAAGUCUAGUUCUUGCUCUUUUUUUCACUUAUGUGAUGAUCUUGAGACUUUCUACUACCAAGGCAAGUGGACAUUCUCCUGUAUUAAAACGAUUGUCUAAUCUUUAUAGUCUACUUUACAUAAAUGCUGAUGUUUGGUCUUCACUGACAAAAUGCAAUGUUACUCAACUCAAGUAA